ACUCGAUGCUGCACACAGACAGCUGGUGUGAUCAGCACUGAAAAGUGUUGAUCACAAUUUGCAGAUCAUGUUUAUUUUUCACGGAGAUCGGCCGCGGGUUCCUCUUCCGUCGGCACUCUAGGAAUUGAAAUAAAAACUUUGAACGAUUCCAGGAAAAUCAAACAGUUGGAACCGGUUCCAAUCAAUGCUCGAUGCUCAAUGUCCAACCCUAAAGGUGGUGCAACAAAACUUUAUUAUUAACACAUGAUCGUUCAUAUCUUUUUAAAUCCUCUGGUAUUCUGUCUUUUUAUCAUUCCUGACGCGCUCCACUCAUCAUGUGCUGCAGUGAUUUCACCUCACUAAUGCAGCAUCGAAACUAGAGCUGAAACAACUAAUCGAUUUAAUCGAUUAUAAUCGAUUAUUCAAAUAGUUAACAACUUUUUUAGUCAUCGAUUAGUUGUUUAAUAAUCACAUUUUACCGCAUAAAGUCUAUUUUUACCACAAUCUGACAUCGGUUACAAUCUGUUAAAUUUGCCGCCAGUGUGUGGCAGUAAUGAGCCACUGAUCUACCAGUGGAGCCGUAGAAGAAGAAACGAGCCAAUAAGUGCCCUCGGUUUUCACGACGUAACACGUUACUGACGCGCAUCUUGCUGUGAGAGAUGGCGGCCGGCGGAACAAGAAGAAAUACGGAAGAAACUGAAGAGAAACCCCGGACAAAAACCUCACGAGUUUGGGAGCACUUCACUCUAGAUGCCAUGAAAAGACGGGAGACCUGCAAAAUAUGCUAAAACCAUCUAGCAUGGCACGGAAGCACGACGUCCCUAAGUGAACAUUUGAGACGAAAACAUGUGGGGGCUGAUGCAGCAACAAAGGAGCCAGCCCGAAAAAAACAAGCAACGAUGGACAACUACAAGGGGAACAAGACACUCACCCCCCAGCAAUGCAUACCACUUACAAACUCUAUUCUAGAUUCUGCAUUAUUUUUUUAUGGAAUUUACCUCUUACAUUUUGAUGCCAAAAAAUUAUUCUGGACUGAUAUUUUGCACUGUUUAGCUCAUUUUACACCGCUGACUGUGUUCAUGUGCAAUAAAAUAGAUUGCAGUCAACUGCACAAUUCUCUUAUGUUUUUCUUAACUGAAAUGUAUUCAUCACUUGUAUUGGUUAAAUAGCUAAACAAUAACAAACCGAUUAAUCGA